ensembl:lncRNA
GGCAUCAGCUCCGAAAGCGCCGAGCGCGUUUCACAGGGCCAGCCUCCCCCCGCCCCCCACGCUCCCAGUCAGCCCCGGUGGGGGACGCGGGGCGGGAGGGCGGAGGGCGGCCCGGCGCAUGCGCGCCCCCCCCCCCGCCCCCCGCCAGUCCCCGCUCAGGGUUCCAGCGCGUGCUCGGUCGCCCUCCGCUCCCCGUCCAGCCUGCCCUGCUCCGGUCAGGCCCCGUCACCUGCCACCCAGUCAUUUUCUGACUCCCUCCGGCCUAGUCCAUCAGGUCUCGGAGUGCUCAUUCGCGUCUCCCAGUGCUUUCCGGGGAGGGCGGAGCUCCUUCCCGGCCGGGCGGUAAGAAGGCGGAGGGGCAAGGGUCUCAAGAGGUCCGGGGGCCCCAGGCCGGCGACCUGGGCAGUGCUACCAGCGCGGGGCUGGGGAGCGCGCGGGGUUUCCCCUGCGUCCGGCUGCGCGCAGGCGCUCAGGGAAGGAAGGCCGGGCACGCGUCGGCCAAUGGGAGCGCGAGCUCGGCGCCGGCCAGACGCCGAACUCGCCUCGAGCGACCCGUCGCGGCGGGCGCCGGAGCGACGCGCGCAGGGGUGCGCGCCCGGCUGCGGUUUCAGGGACGGGGGCUUGGCGAGCACUGCUGUCAUUAAGGGAAGACAGGAAGAUGGCAGCAUAGGAGGACGCUGGGCUCACCGUGUCCUGCUGAUCGCUUAGAUUCCACCCACAUCUGCCUAAUUUGCCCCGCUAACCACCAGAAGACUAGCAGAACGGACUCUCCGGAGCCAAGCUUAGACGAGAGGCCCACGGAAGAGGGUAGGAAAGGCAGAGAGGCAGUGCGCGCUACACAGACUGGUGGGAGGGAGCCAGGGCAGCAGAGGGGCAGCCCGCCCAGCAAUGCAGAGCCCUGGAGUCUGGCUUGCAAAAGCGGAGGGGCCGCACAGAGUGUGCUCUGACAGCCAGUGGGACUUAACAUCUGAUAUGUUAUAAGUCAACAGCUCUGCUCAGAGAGCGGGAGGGAGAGUUGUUGAGCCCCAGAGGACAGAGCUCAGCUUGGCAGGGAACAAAGGUGCUGGGAAGCGCUAUCUCCCUCGCCCAUCCCCCAGCCAAAAUCCCAAAGGGAAUCAGUUCCCAUCAUGGAACUUGCUUGCACAGCACAAACACCCAACACUGUGCUUCUGUGGAUCCAUCCCUCCGACGGGUCUGCCUCCUCCCGGUGCCACAGGGCCCCUCCCAAAGCAGACCACCGAAGGCAAAGCGAGCUGAGCCUGCCCCUCCCGCCCCUGUGCACCUUGCGGAUCCACCGGCUAAUACGCCCUUGGCCAGAUCCCAUCAAAGCAGCACCACAAGCCUGGCAGGGUGCAAGCAGCCCAGACAGGAGCCACACCACUCCACAGUGAGUCCUGCCCCUGGGAGAGAGAAGGUACACACCAGUCUGACUGUGGCCCCAGUGGUAGGCUGGGGGCAGACAUCAGGUCUCACUGUGGCCCCGCCCACCAACACAAGUUUCUCCAGACAGUACAGGGGAAGUGACCUGUAGUUUGGAGCCACCAGGGAAUACCCAAAAUGACAAAAUGGAAGAACUCUCCUCAAAAGAAACUCCAGGAAGUAGCGACAGCUAACGAAUUGAUCAAAAACGAUUUAAGCAAUAUAAUGGAACAAGAAUUUAGAGUAAUACUCAUAUAAUUAAUCACUGGGCUUGAAAAAAAGUAAAGAGGACAGUAGAGAAUCUAUUGCUACAGAGAUCAAGAGACUAAGAAACAGUCAUGAGGAGCUAAAAAAUGCUAUAAAUGAGGUGCAAAAUAAAAUGGAGGCGACCACAGCUUGGAUUGAAGAG